GGCGGCAGUCAGAUGUUCGAAAACACGGAGCGAAAACACGCAGCAAAAAACCUGUCCGGAGAGCGGAGAAAAACAUCCUCCAGUAUGAGGACACAGCACACUGCAGGGGCCACAGAACUGUUGGCUGACAAGAUGCUUGUGAUUCAUAAAAUGGGUCAAAUGCAGAUGACAAAGUAAAGCCAACACUGAGCUGGAGGUGCUGACCCAGACUCCUGCCAACAAUUAGAAGACAAGAGAUACAUCAGACUGAGUGGUCCAAGUCCACUGUCCAUGUCUCCAAUGUCCAUGUCCAGAGUCUCUGAGGAGGAGGUCCAGAGUCUCAUAUGAUCUGAACAAGUGUGUGAGACAGAAAUGAAAACAUCUGUUCAUAAAUUUUUCUGAAUG